rnacentral:lncRNA from 1 species
GUUGUUGGGUUUUGAGCAAUCUAACACUUCCUAAGUGUGCAUGCAACCCUAAUAAACCUUGGAUCUAUGUUUGUAUAAAUACAUGCAAAAUAAUAAUUUUUCAAGGUUCAUAACCUAUCUAACAUGGCAUGGGGUACUUUUAUACAUAAAAGAAUUAGAUGAGAUUACAUACCUUUUGAUGAUGAGUUUGAUUCCUAAGGAGUUUGAGGGCCAAGCACCAAUAGUGUGAAUGCCUCAAAUGGAAUCACAAAUCACCACAAACUCUUGGAAAACUUUGAGAGAGUGUAUACACACAUAGAAAAUCGGCCACACACACAAAACCACACUAGUGGCUAUUUCAUGCAACAUAAGCAUGCUUAUAUAGUGUACAUGGUUAGGGUGAAACCCUAAUAACCCAUGACCUUUCCUUUUCCAAGGAUCCAUGGGUUAAAAGCUCCAUGGAUCAUCGAUGGACUUCCAUAUAAGCCUAGCCCAUUAACAAAUGAGUGUUAGCCCACACCAUAUAAAACAAUAGCCCACAAUUUAAUUAGUCUUCCUUUUAAUCUCUAAAUUAAUUCAUAAUUAAUUUAAGACUAAGACUAAUUAAAUAACUUCAUAUUAAUAUAUUAUAACUUACAAUAUAUUAAUAAACAUAUGUGUAUAACUCUCAUAAAAUUAUCCAUAAAUAGUUCGGGUGAAGUGCAACCCAAAUGGACCAUGUCGGGUCGGGUCAAGUAUGUACCAAAUAAGUUAUGGACUUAGACACCUUAUCCAAUAGAUGAAUUCGCUUUUUCUUUUCAGCAAUAACAUGAUAAGAGCAUCCCCGAUAUAGGACAAGUAGUGCUUUAGAGCGGGUGUUUAUGACUUUACUNACUAUGCCUGAUUUCGCAACUUCAACCCUUUCCCGCUGUAACUGCGCCUUAUUGGCUUCUUUUCAAUCUUGCUGCGCCCUAAAUUAGGCUAACUUUACACCAGUUUUGAAUUCCCAUGAACUAACCUAACACCUAACCUUUUCCUUGAAGACCCUGUAUGGCACAGAGCCAUGUUUAUUCGGCCUUGGGACAGGCAUUAUGGGAUUUUACCCGACGGGGGGCUGGUAAGGUAUGGCUAGUCAUUCGAUAUUCUUUUCGCGACAGGGAGUCCUUCUCUCAUUCUGGUGCUUGUAAGAUAAGACCAGUAGAUGAAUUAGGAAAGAGGGCCUAUGCCCGGGCUUAGUAUGUGCUUAGUUUCAUCUCUCCGCUCUCUACGUUUUCUUGCGACGUGGAGAGGAUGACCUCGCUCUCGUUCCCGUUCCAUCCAGAUCAUCAUUCUGGUCAACAUAUCCAGACUUCCGGCUCGCCCCUUCUAAAUGGUUACAGGACUAGGGCCCUACUAGCAAAAUACGAAGUUCUCUUUUCGUUCUCUUCUUUCUUUUUUAAUAGUAUCUUACUUUUGACCCUUCUAGUUGACUUCUUUCUGCGGGAUACCCUAGUUAGAGCAGUGAAACCUUAAAAUCUUUCAAAAUUUCGUAUUAAGAUGGAUUUGAUUUCAAGCCUUCUCUUUUCUUUGCUUUACAGAAUUUAUCUUUCUAUCUAUCAGUGAAGACUGAAUUUAGGAUUUGGCAAUUAUUGAUGGAAUUCCUUCCUUCUUUCUUGAAGUGACAGAAUUCUUUAUUUAUUUCAGGAAUUUCUUUCAGAUAUGACGGAAUUGAUAUCGCCGUGAAAUCUUUCUUUUUUUAUUGCUUUNUCCUCUUUGGAUAAUAGGUACUGUAGCUGGUAUUCUUGUGAUCGGUUUAGUAGGUGUUUUCUUUUAUGGUUCAUAUUCCGGAUUGGGUUCAUCCCUGUAGGUCUUAUAUCCACCCCUUGACAUGUGCUUUACUUGAUCAGAGAAUGCAUCAGCUUAUUGUCUUCUGGCAUGAUGGUGAUAAGUCUAAUAACUAUAUUUGCGUAUGUUACUUCAGGAACCAACCAGCAAUCGUAGCUCUCGAAAACUCUGUUGAACUAUGAAGCGCCAUUUUAGAUAAGUGAUCAUAUAAUCCUCUGUUCUCAUGAUAUCAGCCGGACAAAUACAUGGAACAAUGUCGUACUUAUUGUCCAGCAGUUUGUUUCCCGAUUUUCGAUUUGUUUGACAAAGAACUUAAUCAAACACAUCAAUUUAGUUCUGACCGGCCAGUACAUAGGUCACAACAAAAUCAUCGAGGGGCCCAGAUAUCGCUUCUAUUUCUAGAAGGAACAGAUAAACUUCGACUCAUAUGCUUGUUCUACUACUUGUUGAAUUGUACACAAAGGCACGUUUUAUAACAUCAAGUUACUGAUGCGUUUACGUGCAAUCAAUGCACAACCAACUCAUAGGUAACAACUCAUAUCUCUAGGUUUGAAGAUUUAUAUGAUAUUACCGUCUCACGAUCACUCGAGAUAAAUUCCAUGAAGUGAUACAAGUGAGCGUGGGUUUAUUCCAAUACUCAUAACUUAUGAGCACUCAUGAAUGUUGUAGCAACCAUUGCUAUGACUAAACCCAUUUAGCCAUCUACAAACUCGAUUCAUGACAGUCUUGAUUCAUACCUACUUCCAACAUAUGAACGACUGUGGAGUGUUUAAAUAACUUAGUCAUUCGGAAAGAAUAACCUAGCUAUUUUGGAAGUCAAAACAUGCAAAGUGAAACACAAUAAUAAUCGAAUCCAAUAUGGUCUCAGAACCCUUUUGAAUAUAAAUAGAACCACCUUUUAUUUAUCACCAUAUUGAUUACACAUUAUUCAUUGUAUAAUGUUUCAAACAAUCAACUUAAGACUUGAAUAAAAACAACAGUCGUCCCAUGCUCCUAGCAUGUACACUUUGUUUUUCUAAACAAUAGUUAUGCCAUACUCCAAGUAUGCACACUAUGUUUGUCUAUGAUCCUUACAUUGUGAUGUAGAUCAAUUGAACAUGAUUCCAAUGAUACUCAUUUCACAAUCCCAAAUCCUUAUUGUAAAUGUGAGAAUCCCCGAUUCCUAUCAUUUACCAAAAAAACUGUUAGAUUUUAAACUUUUAUGCAAUGUUCCUCUUGUAAUGAUUAUGCACAAAGUCACCAAAACCUUGUCACCAGUCAUUACAGAGUAUUCCAAAGAAGGUCAACUUCUAUGGAACGGAAGUCUCAUAUUCAAAGUACAUUGCUUUGAACAUCCUUCUUGCAUUAAGGUUUUCUAAUCUUACAUAGAUUGAAUAACUUCCACCUAUGGAGACAUUUCCAUAGUCCCAUUUUGACUAUCACUUCCGAACAAGAGUUACUUCUUUUCAGAAUAUGUCAAUAUGGUCCUUUCCGACAACUUACAUCAUACUUCCAACUUUCCCUGAGCAACCAAUCUUUGGCGAACCUCAGAUUGUCCUCGACAAUUGCUUAAUCACUUUAGUCAUAUCCAGUUCUAGACUUUUCCCUUCUCAAUGCCUUAAGCAUUUGGAAAAUUUAGAAAAGAUGAAUAUUAUAGCACAUGCAAUCGAUCCUAUAUCCGAAGCAUAUGGGACACGAUUCAUGAUGUUUGACAUAAAGACAUGAUACUAGACCAGUCUUUUGCUACAAUAUUUUUUAUUUGCCAUGUUUUCAAAAUUUAACUAUGAAGAGGGAUGCCGUAAUCAUAAUCGAAUUUUGAAAACGCAAUAUAUAUAGAAUUUCUUCAAGUUGAACCAUUCCAACAUAAAAUUCAUAUAUAUAUACUUGACUAAAGAUGAUUAAAAUCUCAAUCUAAGCUUUAGAAUUGAAAUGAAGUAUAAUUUCCUCUCCCUUAAUUAUAGCAAAACAACUUUUCAACCCCUGCAACUUCACGAAUUGAAACUUUGUUUUCUAUAAUUAACAUUGCUAACUUGCAACACUAAACGUAAUAAUCAUGCUCCCACUAACAUGAUGAUUAUCAGCAUAACACUUAUGCUCCCACUAGCUCUGACAUAUUUCCAGAAAUCUGCUGGACUUCUGAAAUUUAGAUUCAUACACCCUUUCUUAGAUAGCUCACAUGUGUGUCUAAACAAUUUUCAGAACUAUGAAAAGGGAUGCCGUAAUCAUAGUCUCAAUUGCUUAGGCAUUUGCCAUUUCUCACAAGUCCAUGUUAGUGUGCCGGUUAACCACACGCGCUCCACUAAUGACUUUUGAAAAUGCAAAUAACACAAUUGAUAUCUACGUAAAAUCUACUUAGUGAAAGCGUUUCCUCACCAUCAUUUUCAUGAAUCGGAGAGAAACCUUAUGACACUUAGAUUUUAUAGUGUAUGAGUUCCUAUCCAUGUGAAUUUGUCAAAACCAUAAUCACAAGAUAAGGUUAGUGACAAAUUCAGCCUUACAUGGAUUAAACUUGUUCAAUCUUAGUUUCUUGUCACCUUGGUAGCACAAGGCCCACCAAUGCUUCCAAGUUGAACUCUGAUAACUCACAUGCAAAUUCAACUUAUUUGAAGUAGGUACAGAAAUAAGAAUUAUGUCAACACGAUAGGUUGCAAACCUUAAGUCGUGUGCUAGUGAUAAAUUACAGGUUUUACUCUUGAUUAAAUCUUGAAACUCUUUCAGGAUCUUUAAGGCUCCCACUGUCCCCUUGACAUAUAAGUUUCCCCAGUCAAGAACCAUUCCUUGACAAAACAAAUAUUCAAGGGAUAGUGCGGAUUCUUAUCAAGACUAACACUUCACACAAUUGGUCUUAGUUGGUCUUUGUCUCAUCCAAGACAUCACAACUUACCAAUCUCAAAUGUACAAGAGUAGAAAACAUUUUACUCUUACAUUUGACUAGUGUUAAUAAAUCUUCCUUUAUGUCACUCAAAGUUACAAUCUUGGAGUAUGACUCUAAGAAUUGUUUUGGAACGAAGUAUGACUCAUCUUCUUGAUUUUAACCAAUCCAACAAUUCAUGACCUCUCUUCUUAGCCAUAACAAUGCACUAAGACGUCCUUAGAGUAUGAAUUUGUGAUAUGGUUUCAUAAUCAUUAAGAUGAUCAUGAAAUACGAUACUAAAGUACUCUCCCAUCCUUUCAGAUUUGAGAAACUUUUAUCUUUCUGCCUAAUUUGAUUCUUCUCAUUUGUUUUGUCAUACAUUGUAACCUUUCCAAUGUUACAGAAUUAUACUUAACCUCAUAAGUAUAAUCAUAUUUACUAAUCUUUAGUAAAUCAUGACAAAUCAAUCUUUGUGGUGGACCUUGACCAGCGCACACCCAGUGUACCUAAUUCCUUAGUCCUUCAAUUGACUCACAUAUACAUGUGAUCAAAGAAUUAGUCUUAAUUUUCAAAGAUGAAAAUUCUCAUUCAUCAUACAAUACAACUUGUAUGAUUCCAAGUUUCUGUCCAAUUGAAACUUGGGUGAUGAAAAACUUUCUUCAUUUGGUAAAUUCAGACACUACCACAAAUGAAAGAAUCAAAUCCACUUUCCAAUAUUGCUAUUACUGGAAACAUAUAAGCAACAAUUUUCCACAGAUGCCAUUGUAAGGAUAUUUUUAAAAUAAAUAAAAUUAAAACCCUUUUUUUUUUUUUUUUUAAAACUUUGCGGAAAAACUUAUCCUUACAAUCCACAUGAAAACCUUGUUGUUAUCUAUUCAUAAGCAAUAUAUUAUAACUCUUAAGCAACAGCUCAAAAUUCUGAUUACCGAACCAUGCGAUCGAAACCCACCUUCGCAAUCAGAAUCAACAUAUACUUACUUUAAGCUUCCUAUCUUUUCUUUGAUUCUUAAAAACAUCAGCAUGUGACCCAUUCACAUUAUGUAAUAAGAAUCUCCAAAUAGGAACUUAAUAGAGUUAGACAGUGGACUUUACCCGAAGUAGAGUCAAACCUCUUGACUUGAUCAACCUUAUGACCUUUCAGGUGAAUAGGGCAGCUUCGCAACCAAUGCCCCUUCCUUUGGCAACAAAACACAUGGACCCUUUGGUAAUGGCACAUGAGACUAUCUCAGACUUAGCCUUUCUCUUUACCAUUUGGUCAACCGAGUUGACUAUGGCCGAUCCCUUUCCAUUGGGAAGAGAAAUCCUUUUCUAGAUAUCCAAUGCUACCAUUGUCAAUGUCCAUUUAAGACUUGGGAAGUUGUUCUUUUAAUCAAAUUUGCUUUACUGGUGUUCCAAAUCAUUGCUGAUUCCACAACACCAAGCAAAUAGAUAACAUCAUUAAGGGUCAUGUCAUAGUCUGUCUCAUAGUAGUCCCAAAGAGACUCACUAUGUUACUAAGAAAGUGAUUGAACAUCCAACUUUCACGAGACUUUGACACCCAACUCUCCCGGCUUGUCAAUAUGUGACUUUAUCUCCAAGAUGUGAGCACACAUAGACUAUGCUUGCCAAUAGGGAUUGAGUGACUUUAAACUUUUCAAGAACUUGUGGGUGAGGGAGAAUAAUUGGAGGAGGUGGAGGAAGUGAAGCAUGAUGUUGAGGGACACCAUCUUCAAGAGAUUUGGGAAGAUCAUAGUUGUCUGAACCAGACAUCUAUAAUGGGAGAAAAUCAAGUUAGUUGAUUCAAAGUCCUUAAUAUAACACCCAAUAUGAAAUAUUAAGGCUAGGACCCAACACAAUAUUUUAUAAUUUGGAAGAGGGAUGCCGUAAUCCAAGCUAUAAAAUAUUUGAAGGUAGGCGAAUGACGAUUCACCAAUUUCCACCAUGAAAAACGAAAUAAUUUAUUAGGUUUUAAUUGGAUUUGAAAUUCCUAGAUCUUUUGAGAUUCAUUGAACUUUUCAAUGGCAUGUUUCAAUCUCGAGUGUGCCCUCUCAAAUUUUGUGACUGGGAUGCCGAGGAUCACAAAACAAGGUGUGAAUAACCAUACCAAUUCACUUGGUACCCUUAAUAUUAUCACCUAAUCAAUGUGCCGGUUAACCACACACGCUCCAUUGAUCUAUGACAAACAUUAAGUCACCCUUCGUGAUCCUUACUAGUCCAAGUUAGUGUGCCGGUUAACCACACACGCUCCACCAACGACUUGGUAAGGUACAAAGUGUGAAUUCCAUGGGCUAGCACCAAAUUCACAUUUUUCCUAAAGUAACUAAGAUUGGGAAUUAAAUAAAAAAUUUUUAGUUACUUUAUAAUAAUCAUUAUACUUUUAAUGAGAAUUUAAAGUCAUUGUCCUACCCGUUCGGCUAACGACCCUCCACCGAUCAAGCAAGCGGUGGGUGAGAGUGGACACCCAUUAAGUCGCCAUUUUAUAGGCAACAACCUUAUACCCACCUUAUAGACCGGCUUCGUGAAUGAGGCCUACUAACGGUAAAACGACUUGUUCUUAUACAUAUAUAUAAUAAUUAACCAUUAAUGUUAUAAAUAGUAUAAGUGUUGAAUUUUAACUUUUAAAACUCUAAGUGUUGGAAUUAAAGUUUAUUAAAGUGUGUGAAACUUUUCAAAUUCCAAAACUUGAGGGCAAGUUUUGUAACUAUCCAAAACUUUUCAUUUCAUAACUUAUGAAUUAAAGGUUCAUAAAAAUGAAGACUCUUCAUUUUCAUGUAACUUAUGUGUUUAAAUGUGUGUGUUAAAGAAAAGUGACCUUUGGAUAUCCAUAACUUGAGGACAAAUUAUGGACUCCAUUAAAACACAUAAAUGAUCAAGAAUUAAUUCUAAACAAUUCAGCAAAUAAUUCCUAUCAUCUUCUAAAUUCAUAAGAACAUGAACAUGAUCAUCAAAAUUUCAAGAAUUAUAUGAACACAUAAAAAUCAUGGAAUUUUGAUAUAUGCUAUUGUAAAUGGAUUAGAACAACCAUUACACCAACUAAAACAAGUUUUAAAACACCAAAACAGUUUAGGGUAAUGUUUCUAGUCCAUUUCCAGCAGCAAAAGUCGAAAUUCUGCAUUCUGAUCAUUCUACUCGCCGAGUGCACGAACCUACUCGCCGAGUAGGAUGAAUUUUGCCUUGAACUCGGCGAGUCCCCCCAUGGACUCGGCGAGUCCAUCAGCCAGACAGCAACAAUUUCAACUUUUUUCACUAUUUUGCAUCAAGUAUCAAACAAGCAAGCCUAGGCUCUGAUACCACUGUUGGGUUUUGAGCAAUCUAACACUUCCUAAGUGUGCAUGCAACCCUAAUAAACCUUGGAUCUAUGUUUGUCUAAAUACAUGCAAAAUAAUAAUUUUCCAAGGUUCAUAACCUAUCUAACAUGGCAUGGGGUACUUUUAAACAUAAAAGAAUUAGAUGAGAUUACAUACCUUUUGAUGAUGAGUUUGAUUCCUAAGGAGUUUGAGGGCCAAGCACCAAUAGUGUGAAUGCCUCAAAUGGAAUCACAAAUUACCACAAACUCUUGGAAAACUUUGAGAGAGUGUAUACACACAUAGAAAAUCGGCCACACACACAAAACCACACUAGUGGCUAUUUCAUGCAACAUAAGCAUGCUUAUAUAGUGUACAUGGUUAGGGUGAAACCCUAAUAACCCAUGACCUUUCCUUUUCCAAGGAUCCAUGGGUUAAAAGCUCCAUGGACUUCCAUAUAAGCCUAGCCCAUUAACAAAUGAGUGUUAGCCCACACCAUAUAAAACAAUAGCCCACAAUUUAAUAAGUCUUCCUUUUAAUCUCAAGAUUAAUUCAUAAUUAAUUUAAGACUAAGACUAAUUAAAUAACUUCAUAUUAAUAUAUUAUAACUUACAAUAUAUUAAUAAACAUAUGUGUAUAACUCUCAUAAAAUUAUCCAUAAAUAGUUCGGGUGAAGUGCAACC